CCUACGGGGGGCUGCAGUGGGGAAUAUUGGACAAUGGGGGGAACCCUGAUCCAGCCAUGCCGCGUGUGUGAAGAAGGCCCUCGGGUUGUAAAGCACUUUCAGUGAGGAAGAACGCCUGGUGGUUAAUACCCAUCAGGAAAGACAUCACUCACAGAAGAAGCACCGGCUAACUCCGUGCCAGCAGCCGCGGUAAUACGGAGGGUGCGAGCGUUAAUCGGAAUUACUGGGCGUAAAGCGCGCGUGGGUGGCUUGAUAAGCCGGUUGUGAAAGCCCCGGGCUCAACCUGGGAACGGCAUCCGGAACUGUCAAGCUAGAGUGCAGGAGAGGAAGGUAGAAUUCCCGGUGUAGCGGUGAAAUGCGUAGAGAUCGGGAGGAAUACCAGUGGCGAAGGCGGCCUUCUGGACUGACACUGACACUGAGGUGCGAAAGCGUGGGUAGCAAACAGGAUUAGAUACCCCGGUAGUC
rnacentral:rRNA from 1 species